rnacentral:rRNA from 1 species
AGAGUUUGAUCCUGGCUCAGGAUGAACGCUAGCUACAGGCUUAACACAUGCAAGUCGAGGGGCAGCAUGGUCUUAGCUUGCUAAGGCCGAUGGCGACCGGCGCACGGGUGAGUAACGCGUAUCCAACCUGCCUUACACUCUUGGACAGCCUUCUGAAAGGGAGAUUAAUACAAGAUGUUAUCAUGAGUAAGCAUUUUCGCAUGAUUAAAGGUUUACCGGUGUAAGAUGGGGAUGCGUUCCAUUAGAUAGUAGGCGGGGUAACGGCCACCUAGUCUUCGAUGGAUAGGGGUUCUGAGAGAACGGUCCCCANAUUGGAACUGAGACACGGUCCAAACGUCCUAGGGAGCA